GACGAACGCUGGCGGCGUGCUUAACACAUGCAAGUCGAACGCUGAAGCUCAGCUUUUGUUGGGAGGAUGAGUGGCGAACGGGUGAGUAACACGUGAGUAACCUGCAUCCUUCUUUGGGAUAACGUCCGGAAACGGGUGCUAAUACUGGAUAUUCACUGGUCUGCGAAGGGGGGUUGGUGGAAAGGGUUUUUCUGGUGGGGGAUGGGCUCGCGGCUUAUCAGCUUGUUGGUGUGGUGUUGGCCUAGCAUGGCUUUGACGGGUAGCCGGCCUGAGCGGGUAACCGGUCACAGAGGGAGGGAGAUCCGGCCGAGACUCAGACGCGGCGCAGAAGUCGGGAAUAUGGCGCAAUGGGCGCUAGUGUAAUGCAGCGACGACGCGGGAGGGAUCGUGCCCUUCGGGUUGUGAACCUCUUUCGCUCAUGGUGAAGCCUCAACAAUGGUUGUGGUGACGGUAGUGGGUAAAGAAGCGCCGGCUAACUACGUG
rnacentral:rRNA from 1 species